UAGGGAAUCUUCGGCAAUGGACGAAAGUCUGACCGAGCAACGCCGCGUGAGUGAAGAAGGUUUUCGGAUCGUAAAACUCUGUUGUUAGAGAAGAACAAGGACGUUAGUAACUGAACGUCCCCUGACGGUAUCUAACCAGAAAGCCACGGCUAACUACGUGCCAGCAGCCGCGGUAAUACGUAGGUGGCAAGCGUUGUCCGGAUUUAUUGGGCGUAAAGCGAGCGCAGGCGGUUUCUUAAGUCUGAUGUGAAAGCCCCCGGCUCAACCGGGGAGGGUCAUUGGAAACUGGGAGACUUGAGUGCAGAAGAGGAGAGGGGAAUUCCAGGUGUAGCGGUAAAAUGCGUAGAUAUAUGGAGGAACACCAGUGGCGAAGGCGGCUCUCUGGUCUGUAACUGACGCUGAGGCUCGAAAGCGUGGGGAGCAAACAGG
rnacentral:rRNA from 1 species